UACGUAGGGGGCAAGCGUUGUCCGGAUUUAUUGGGCGUAAAGAGCGUGUAGGCGGCUUUACAGGUCCGUUGUGAAAACUCGAGGCUCAACCUCGAGACGCCGGUGGAAACCAUCUAGCUAGAGUCCGGAAGAGGAGAGUGGAAUUCCUGGUGUAGCGGUGAAAUGCGCAGAUAUCAGGAAGAACACCCGUGGCGAAGGCGGCUCUCUGGGACGUGACUGACGCUGAGACGCGAAAGCGUGGGGAGCGAACAGG
rnacentral:rRNA from 1 species